rnacentral:rRNA from 1 species
AGAGUUUGAUCCUGGCUCAGAAUCAACGCUGGCGGCGCGCUUAACACAUGCAAGUCGAACGAGAAAGCGGGGGCAACCUCGCAAGUACAGUGGCGUACGGGUGAGUAACACGUGGGUUAUCUAACCUUUAGUGGGGAAUAACGCUGGGAAACCGGCGCUAAUACCGCAUAAUCCCGAGAGGGGAAAGCAGCAAUGCGCUG